GGCUAGUAUGAAUGAUGUGGUGUUUACAACUAAUUGAUCACAACCAGUUACAGAUUUCUUUGUCCCUUCUCCAUUCCACUGAUUCACCUGACACCUUAA
rnacentral:Y_RNA from 10 species